rnacentral:lncRNA from 1 species
AAAGUAAUUGUUUGUGCGAAGUCAAUCUAACCUCAUUUGACCUUUUGACCCUUGGUCAGGACUGGUCAAUGCCGGCCAAUUUAAAAUCCACAGGUUUUGACAACUCAUUGUGAAAACCUUCGGUUUGAUGAACGUAAGUCCCUGGGAGCUUUUAACUUCCAUAAAGUACUGAGAAAAUACAUAUUUAACUUUCAAAAUAUCUUAAAAAAGCCUUAAUAAAAACUUUACACCCGGACCGAAAAACAAUUUACAAAAUAGUUUUAGCCUCCGGUAAACAGAUAUUGGGUUUCCAUUAUAGUAUUUCGCAAUAUUGCAUCAGCCGGUUACGACUAGUUUUAUCAAUACACAUAACAUUUUUUACUGUUUUAAGUAUUAUAACGAAAAAAGUGGAAUUUAAACAACUGAAAUGUAUUCAAGAAUUCUACAAAGAUAUUAUUAGCCAGACGAAUUACAACGUGAAAAAUCCAAGACUUUAUAAAGACAACGAACGUUUAACACAAAAUAUAUCAUCGGAAGACUUCAA